CUUCCCCACAGGGUCACGGGUUCCACGCUUUGAUCCAACAGCAUAUAUCCAGGACAGGCAGCGCAGACAGAAGGAGGCAGAAAUCAAAAAACAAAGGAAGGUGCGAAGGGACAUGCUGGCAUCACCCGUGCUCCC